rnacentral:rRNA from 1 species
AGGGCACCACCAGGAGUGGAGCCUGCGGCUUAAUUUGACUCAACACGGGAAAACUCACCCGGCCCGGACACUGGAAGGAUUGACAGAUUGAGAGCUCUUUCUUGAUUCAGUGGGUGGUGGUGCAUGGCCGUUCUUAGUUGGUGGAGUGAUUUGUCUGGUCAAUUCCGAUAACGAACGAGACUCUAGCCUACUAAAUAGAUCGUCGGCUUACAAACGCCGGCGAGACUUCUUAGAGGGACAGGCGGUGAUUCAACCGCACGAAACAGAGCAAUAACAGGUCUGUGAUGCCCUUAGAUGUCCGGGGCCGCACGCGCGCUACACUGAAGUGAUCAGCGUGCUUUUUCAACCUACUCUGUCAAGAGUGGGGAACCCAAUGAACCUUCUUCGUGAUUGGGAUAGGGGAUUGUAAUUAUUCCCCUUGAACGAGGAAUUCCCAGUAAGCGCGAGUCAUAAGCUCGCGUUGAUUACGUCCCUGCCCUUUGUACACACCGCCCGUCGCUACUACCGAUUGAAUGUUUU